AGUUGCUUCUUGCGAAAUCAACUAAGUUCAAAAAAGCCAUGCCCAGGUUUCCGGGAGUUUAGAUAAGAUAUGUCAGCUGUUGGAGGAUCAAUAUUAUCCGGGGGAUCCAUAUAUUAUGAGGGAGUAUAGAGAGGGGGUCUAGAGAUAGUACAGUAUGUAGUGAACCUGUUCAUUAAAUGGACUUUUCCCUUACCUCUCAUCAGCUUCCCUUUCCCUCGCCGGUGCAGUGCCAUCUGGAUACCUCAUAAAUAAAUCAAGUAGGCCGGCUAGUAAGCGAUCCCGAGGGGCUAUCUUCUCUCCCAUGCUGGUGCCUUGCUUAACUCAAGUAUAAAGUGGAAAUUAAAGCCAAAAUCCGGGGUGAUAAAAUUCCAUUUGAAUCUUGAGAUCCAAGAAGAAGGAUAGCUUCAUGAGUUCGUUCUGACUCCUAGCUUAGCUGGAAAGCUUUUGCUUGUAUCUGGCAGUGGGUGUAACAUCCAUCAUACUCAAACAGAAGAAGGUUUGCUUAUCUAGCUCCAAGGCAGUUAUAAUCAUUUAAAAAACCUGGGUUUGCACCUACUGAGGAGGAGAAAGGGCCGACGACCCAUACUAGAACUCCAAGAUAAGAUCUUUCAGUCGAUCAGACGGCCGAGGCCUUUAAUAA
rnacentral:lncRNA from 1 species